CCUACGGGAGGCAGCAGUGGGGGAUAUUGCACAAUGGGGGAAACCCUGAUGCAGCGACGCCGCGUGUGGGAAGACGGUCCUCUGGAUUGUAAACCACUGUCCCCAGGGACGAAGAUGAAGGAACCGGGGGAGGAAGCUCGGGCUAACUACGUGCCAGCAGCCGCGGUAAUACGUAGGGAGCGAGGGUUGUCCGGAAUUACGGGGUGUAAGGGGAGCGUAGGCGGGGAGGCAAGUUGGGUGUCAAAACUACCGGCUCCACUGGUAGUCGCACUCCAAACUGCAGCUCUUGAGUGAAGUAGAGGCAGGCGGAAUUCCUUGUGUAGCGGUGAAAUGCGUCGAUCUCACG
rnacentral:rRNA from 1 species